UCAGCAUGGCAUGUGGAAAAUUCCAGAAGAAAGAGCAAAGGGGAGGUACUUUCCUUAGAGCACAAAGAUUGAGAUGGGGAAAGAUAGUACAGCACCAAAUCUUCCUUCAGUGCAGUGGGAUCUGGGCUUGGAUCUGAGUCCAUACAUAUGACAAUGCAAGUUUGCUGGGCUAGCUUCACGGGUGGAAGAGAGGAUCCAGGGACUCAUGGAGUGACCUAUGAGGAUGGACUCAGGAGACAAGUGUCUGCUGACACCCAAGGGAGGAAGAGUGUGGUG